AUCCCUUCAUCUUCCUUCUAUCCUCCUCCAUCAACAAAAAAGCUGCAAACUUUGGCUCUCUUUUUGCCCUAAUUUUUGUCGUGCGCUUACAACAGUUCAAGCUGCCAGCAUGAUCUAACCUUAAUCUCUCCUAAUUUUCGAUUCUCCUGAGGUUUAAGAUUAGAUCAUAUGGCAGUUUCACCUGUUGCUUGCUCCACGAAGAAUUCAGCCCUAAAUUCAAAUUUCUUGACCAUAUCAGCCGUUUUCUAUCCAUAAUCCUUAAAAAAGUGUUGCAGCCAACAUUUUUUUUUUCGGUCGAUUGCAAGGCUAGAUCUUCGGUUUGUGUGUCGAUCGGGUGGGACGAUAAGGUAAUUGUCUCUUUGAUUCGUCCGAGUUAUAAAAAGUUUGAAUGUAAAACUUUUCUUUUCGUUAAAAGGUUUUUUAUCUCUCCGUUUAUAUGUUCAUAUUUUAUAAUGUCGAUCAAAAGACCUAAUCGAUAAGUACUCCGGUGAUUUAUGGUCGAUGGGUUUUUUCUCAUUGCU